rnacentral:lncRNA from 1 species
UAACAUAUAAUUUACCACUCCAUAUAUCGGUCAUACUGAAAAAUUUCUCGUGUUUGCCUACCCCUAUUUAAAAGUACUCAAAUCUAAAAGUAUUUAACCAUUUUAUAAUUGUCAGUUUGGUGCAUGUAAAUUAAUUUUUUUUCUAUGAAAAAAGUAUUUAAUGGUUUCAGAUUUGUUUAAUGUAUGUUAGAGCAUUUUUUGUAUUUUACAAAUUAGGGUUAGCAUAAAGAUUAUAAUUUCCUUCCUUUUUCUAGCUACUAGGGUUCAACAUUAUUUUCCUAUUCGUUUCCUAAAUAGAUUUUGAUAAAUAAAUUUCUUUUAUCUUAAUGAAAAUUAAGUAUUGGCAAUACAUAAUCAUUUCGCUAUGCAACAAUUUAUAGUCUUCUUAGUUUUAGUCAAUGAAAUAAGAUUUAGUCUGUGAUCGGCUUUUUCAUUUUUCAUUUCUCGUUCUUUAAUUUGUUAACACCCACAAAGUAAUCAUGUAAGAAUAUAUAGAAGGGAUCGACUUAUCAGUUAUGGUGGUCCAUGGUUACACUAUGGUUGCAGGGUUGCAGCCUUAUUGUGCACAAGAUAGAGAUAGAAUGACUAAUAUUCGCGAGAGGCAAUAGAGUCAAAACCCUAAAGUCCAUGUUUUUUCGGUGACUAUCAUAUUCAUGCGUACAUGAAAUUUCACUAUCCUCCACGCUACAGAAAUUGAUGUUAUACAACUCUCAUGAUAUAUGUAGCUCGAAGGCAGAAACAUUUUACAAUAUAUGGGCAGCUGAAUUUGAGGAAUGAAGUCGUCCAGUACAUUUUCAAACUUGAAAAAUGUUCCUGGAUCGGUUCUCUUUCAGUCUGUUAGUUGUUGCAGCGGCAAUUUCAAGAGCAUCUUAUACAUGAGAUAAGAGUAAUGCGAGAGAUAUUAAAAUUGUAAAUAAAAUAUUAUAAACUAAAUGAUAUAUAAGUUUGUGAUUAUAUUAUUAUUUAAACGUUAAUAAACGUGAACAAUAUUGGUGAUACAUCAUUUAAUUUGUAAAUUUUGUUUACAAAUUUAAUCUCUCUAACAUUAUCAUUGAGAGAAUAUAAUUUAUUAAAACGAUAAUGAGGGAGCAGAAUCACAUACCUUUGGUGUAAGAACUAAGGCCAUCUCCAACCGAGGGCUGGCCAGAGGGCUCGUUUGAGCCCUCUAGCCCUCCAAGAUUCCCCAAGAUAUUAAUAUUUUAAUGAACAGUACAGGGCCAUAUUUGCCUCCGUCUCCAACCGAGGGCCAGAGGGCCAAAGGGCUCGUUUUAGCCCUGUCACAAAAACCGUCUCCAACCGAGGGCCAAAGGGCCAUAGGACCAAACAUAAUUUAUUAUUUAAAUUUAAAAACUACAACAACUUAAAUUUAAAAACAACAACUUAUAUUUAAACACUACAAAUUAAAUUUAAAAACAACAUUAACUUAAAUUUAAAAAUUACAACGACUUAAAUUUAAUAUCCAUAAUCAAUAUCAUCUUCAUCAUCCGCCAUUGUAGGAGUAUAGUCAGAGGUAAACAAUUGCCGCCGAGCCAUAAUUUCUUUUUUUUUCCUAUCAAAAUAGGCCUUACUCAUUGGAGUGUAAUCCGAAGUGUUCCUUUCCAUAUUCUUAUCAUCCAUCUCUUCUUGUAUUUGUUUGGCUCGCUCUUCAUGUCUACACUUCAUUUCUUCCGCCUCACGGGCAUUUUGCUCCGCCAGUAAUCGAAAUGAGGCCGCCACUUCAUGUUGAGCGGCGUAAUCAGCAUUUGCCUUGCCCUUUUCCCUCAACCUUCGGGCCUUGUUUCGUCCCAUAGCCCUAGGUAAAGAAAUUUGGGACGGAGUCGGAUUUUCUACCCUUGUUUGUUGAAUGGUAGGAGAUCCAUCUUCAUUCAUAUCUACAGAUGGGGAUGCAGCUUCCAAAGGAUCCACUCUAUGUUGAGGUGGAUCUUCAAAUAACACCCACCCUUUACAAAUUUCCCAACAACCGUGAAACUGAAAGGGUUUUGAGCUGCCUCCAUAUACAAUUCCUCCGCUUGGCGUACCUAGAAAAUAUAAUUAAAAAAAUUUUAGGAAAUUAAUUCACGAAAUUAAUGUAAUAUAAUUAAACAUUUAAACAUUUAAAAUAAACUGUAAAAACACUAACUUCGUCAUAGUAAUUGGCGCCGCUUUCAUGUCUACGUGCUGCUGCUAAUAGUGCUUGAUGCCAUUUAUUCAAACUUGGAUGAAGAUGUUUCUUCCAUCUUGAAGAACAACUUUCGUGGUUUCGGGUAUUCGGUGGAAUGGUGCCUUCGUAGAACUCUAAGUAUUUUUUGGACACACGAGUCCAAACACCUUCACUUGUUUGAGAAAUCCCCCUCACACUAUCUUCUGAGAUCCAUCUAUAAGCCUUGCAAAGAGCUUCAUCUUCUUUUCGGGUCCAAGCCCUACCUUUCAUUGCAGAUGAGGCCAUUUUUUUUGAAAAAAAAAUGAAGGAAAUAUUGAAGGAAAUAUUGCAAAUGUUAUAGAAGAAAAUAUUAUAGAUGAAGGAAAUAUUGGAAAAUUUAUUGAAGGAAAUAUUGGAAAAUUGAAACAAAUAUUAUAGAUGAAGGAAAUAUUAGAAAAUAUAUUGAAGGAAAUAUUGAGAAAUAUAUUGAAGGAAAUAUUGAGAAAUAUUGAAGAAGGAAAUAUUGCAAAUGAAGUGAAGAAUUGAAAGAACUUCACUAUAUUUAUAGAAGAAAAAAAUGUUUAAAAUAAAUUAAAAAAAAACAACCAACGGCUAGCUGACUCAACUAGCCGUUAUAUUAAAAAACAUUUCAAACUAUUAGUGUCGGUUAUAACCGACACUAAUAGCAGAACUAUUAAAACAAAAAAAAAGGUCUUUAAUGCUGUCGGUUUUAACCGACAGCAAUAGGAAAUCAUUAAAAAAAAAAAUAGCCAGCCCUCCAGCCCUCUCCGAUCCCGUGGGGCCCUCCCAGAUUCCAGAGCCCUCUGGCCUAGCCCUCGGUUGGAGACGGUUUUAGGGCUAUUUUCGGCCCUCUGGCCCUCUGGACCCUUCGGUUGGAGAUGGCCUAAGAAGUGUGCGCAGCUAGCUAGCUGUGCAGCUAUUGUUAAAUCCAAUUUCAGUGUUAACUAUAUAUAUAAAGAGAAAUGAUAAUAAGAUUGUCUUAAAGUAGGACUAUUUAUAUCUUUUCUUUCAGCUCAUAGUUUAAUAUUAAUGUUUGUGUUACAUUAUAAAAUAUUGUAUAUAAAACAUGAGAUGUUACAGAGUCCAUAAGAGCAACUCCACCCCUAAAAAUACGCAGGCACCUAGCCCAUUUAAUCCACUCAAAUGAAUAGUGAUUGACCCCAAUGAACAAUAAUGGGCUAAAUGCAUCUCCACUCCUAAAAAAUACGCCA